AAUGCACAAUGCACAUAUGGCACAAACAAAUACGUCUAUAUUUACACAAUAUAGACACAGCAUGAUACACAAUGUCGAUGUACACCUGUGCUUCAGGAUUCACACACAUCACAAGCAAAUGCACAGACCCAUGCCCACCAUCCAUUUGCACACCUGCAACUCAUACAUGAUGAUGCCUUUUCCAGGAUAAAAAUACCCAUUUACUUGUGUUGACCCUAUUAGUCCUGCAGCAGAAUGUACCAGAAUAAACAUUCCACUAUAACAUCGAAGCUCUUUAGAUCUGUAGAGUAAGGAGGAGACUGUAGAGGGCUCCCCUCCCCAUCCUCACUUGCUCACUUGCAGAUGGGGAACCUGAGGCUCAGAGAACUUAGGGCCAUGCCACUGCUAGCCUGUGACUUUGGUCAAGGCAGUGUUCUCGUUGUGCUCCUGGAUGAUCCCUUUACUGCCUGCAACUUUCCUCCUCCCUUCUCUGCUCUGGUCACAGGAUCUAGCAAGUCCCAUGGUUCCCCGGCCCCUCACUUGACCCUCAGCUCCUCAUGUGGGGCAAGAAAGAGGUUAAGCCCUAACUUGAGAAGCAGGAGCAUCCUGUGCUGGGGCUGGCACAGAUGAGUGGUCGCCACAGCAGCUGCGUCCUCUGAAAAGACAGCAAAGCCUGGCUGUUCACACCAGGAAGGGGGUUGUCCAGGGGCUGGUUUUUCCAUGGACAUCUCAAGCCCAGGGCUUAUGGAUUACAGUCUUUUGAAGAAUAUUUGAUAGCCGAGAAUGAAAUGAUCAACUCCACAAAAUGACUGCAAAAUCAAAAUUAAUGUUUAAUUGAAUAUGUGCAUAACAUCACAUCAUGUCAACUUGUUAAAUUCAACUCACUCCAGCUCCUAUGAAGUUAGGUGUAAAUGAUACUUGCGUGAGAUGUGGAUGCAUUCUGAUGUGUUUAUAUGAUGUGGUAUGACAUUCUAGAGUGAGAGGGUUAGAGGCUAUGACUAUUUAAAAACAGUCUAUCGGCAGCAUGGGGGUUGGGAUGCAGCCAAUAAUAGCUGAGCAGCUACUUUCUGACUGUCCCACCAGUGCCCAUUGGAGGCGUUUCCAGCACCGAUGGAUAGAUAAGCUAACUUAUAGGGAGCACUUGAGUGAAUAUUCUAGAGUCCUCCCAGACGAUCUGGGAGCUCAGGAGGGGGAAUUGCACUGAAGAUUUGUCCCAUCGUGAAGCAAGAGCACUGGAACUUACACUCCACCAUCAGGCCCUGUCACAGGAGAACAAAGAAGGAAGGCAGAGGAGAUCAUGCUCCGGCCAGCAGGGAAUCUCCAUUUUUUUCAGCCUCAUACCUUGGAAAGUACAAAGGAGUGAGAGCUGGGACUACCAGCCAGAGGGUUCAUGGAGGUAGUGGGAGGGGAAGAUGGGUUCUGCAUGGAGCCACUCCAGGGACUUUUCUUCUGUCUCACAGCCUGACAAUCACCUCUAGCUGUUCUCAGUCCCAUUCUCAUCAAUGACCUCGUCUCCUGAUUUUGUACAAUAUCUAGGUGACCUUCUCUUCUUUCCAUCUUCAAACGCUUGAUCAUUGAUGCUCCCUUUUCUCUUCUCUCUCCUCCUGGGAAAAGAGAAGGACCAACAUCCCCCUUUCCCUUCCUCCUGUGCUGUCCCGACCCCUCUGAGACCUGGCUCUAGCAGUAAGUCCCUCUCUCUUCUGCAGCACCAGCCUCUGCCCAUCCCUGCCCUCUGCACACAAAGCUCUCACAUUGUCUGCACUUUAAGAACUUUUGUGGCAAACCCUGGCAAAUCCUGCCACUUGUUUCCACUCUUCUCAAAUGGCUUUGAGGUCAUCAUUGACCUAUCCCAUUUGACCCUGUCCUGUAUCUGAUGUUGUACCCUUUCUCCUUGAUCCCACUCUGGCAACUCUCCCACUCCCCUUUCUUGGAUCAACUGUCUUGCUCCUCAGUCUUGAUCAAUGCCUCCUUCUCUCUCUUUAGCCUUGGCCCUUUUUGGCCAGGGAAAUAAAUGUGAAAUACAUAAAGCUUCAUUUUAUCUUAUGAUUAUAGCUAUGUUGAUGUUACCCAAGACCUAAAAGUCACACUCUCUAAUUACACUUCCCUCCUGUGUUCUGGGUCCUCUUGGACCAGUCCUUACUCUGGCUCCCCUCCUGGAUGUCUCCCAGACUUCUAAUUAGAAUUACUGUUUCCUAUAUCAAGCUAAUUAUCUUUCCCACCAACCUCCUCCAUCCUUGGGUGAAAGCAUCACUUGGUUGCAAAAGUCAGAAAUCUGGGUUUCAUUCUUGCGGUAGGUAGAAUAAUGCCCCCAGGCCCCAGGUUUUGACAUCCGAAUCCCUGGGACUUUGCAGAUGUGAUUCAGUUUAGGAUUUUGAGAUGGGGAGAUUAUCUGGGAGAGCCUGAUGUCAUCAUAAGGUUCUUAUAAGAGGGAGGCAGGAGGGUUAGAGUGAGUAGUAAGAGAUGCAACAGUGGAAGCAAGAGGUUGGGGUGAUGUGGCCACAAGCCCAGGAGUGCUGACAGACAUCAGAAGCUGGAAGGGACAAGGAAUGGUUUCUCCUCUGGAGCCUCCAGAAAGAACCAGCCCUGCUGACACCUUGAUUUUAGCCUUGGAAGACUCAUUUUGGACUUCUGACCUUGAACGUUGUAAGAGAAUAAAUUUACAUAUUUUAAACUGG
rnacentral:lncRNA from 1 species